ACCACGAGCAUGGUGUACUUUAACGAAUGGACCCUCUUUAUCUUGAUUUAACUCUUUAUGAAGGAGGUCCUUUCCUCUAAGUGUCGCUCCUUGCACGCAUCACACAAAACGUGAAGCACUAAUUGGAUAGGUGAUGCUUAUUCUGGAAGAGAAAGGGCGCGUGUAUGAUGUCUGUUUCAUCAGUAUGACCCAGAGGUUUGAAGCACUGUCCCGGCCCAAUCAGCUGAAAUAAACAUGCUGUGUUUUUUGCCAGUUUCGGUGUGAGAUCAUUCCUCCUCGUUCGAGUCCACGGAUGACGAGUGAUGGACGAUAAAUGUGGUCUGGACUGCCACCUCCAAUGAGCGACCACCUUCAGAAGUGAAGCAGAGGGAAGGUACCUCCCAUUGGACUGCGAGAACUUCAUGAUGGUUAAAUUCACCAUGAACAAGAACAGGUUAUGCGACAUUGUAACAAUGUAGGACACACUAGCUAUAUCCUAGAACCGGAGGAACUUGCUGAACCAGGAUGAACGCGGGAGUAUAGAUGAGUUGGUGAAGCUGCAGGGUGGAGACAGGCUGCUGAAUGAUUUAAUUCAGCACACUUUCAGCAAGACUGGAACCCUUAGCCACAUCAGGACUCAAAAGAUCAGGCUUGACGCAGGGAAGGCAGUGUGGAUAUACUGCUGAAGAUUCUGCAGCCACUGCACUGGGAUCAUGUCACUGGGCUCCAGAGCUAUUACUUAAGGAUGCAGCUUUUGGAAUUAAGAAGUGGGGCUUCCCCUUGUACCAUCUGAUGGUGCAGGAUAAUGGCAGCAGGCGCAUUUCUAUGUUAUUGGCCUUUGAGUGGUGCCUGACAGCUGAGAUGUUGCAUGAGACUGCAGGAGUUUCUUGUGGAUUUCAUGUGCUGUGCUGCCAGCCAGUUCUGGAGACGUAGGUUCAGAUCCAGUCACAGCAGAUAGAAGUUCAAUUUAAUUCAUAAAUGUCCAAUUGAAACCUGUUGUGUUGGUAAGCAUGAAACCAUUGUCAACUGUAAUAAAAACCCAUUCAGCUCA